UGUGGACCAAUGAAUAUUGAGGCUCGUGGCGGAUAUCGUUAUUUUCUCACCUUCACAGAUGACUUAAGCAGAUAUGGGUAUAUCUACUUAAUGAAACAUAAGUCUGAAACAUUUGAAAAGUUCAAAGAAUUUCAGAGUGAAGUUGAAAAUCAUCGUAACAAGAAAAUAAAAUUUCUACGAUCUGAUCGUGGAGGAGAAUAUUUGAGUUACGAGUUUGGUGUACAUUUGAAAAAUUGUGGAAUAGUUUCGCAACUCACGCCACCCGGAACACCACAACGUAAUGGUGUGUCCGAACGUCGUAAUCGUACUUUACUAGAUAUGGUACGAUCUAUGAUGUCUCUUACUGAGUUACCGCUAUCAUUUUGGGGUUAUGCUUUAGAGACGGCCGCAUUCACGUUAAAUAGGGCACCAUCAAAAUCCAUUGAGACGACGCCUUAU
rnacentral:rRNA from 1 species